UACGUAGGGUGCGAGCGUUAAUCAGAAUUACUGGGCGUAAAGCGUGCGCAGGCGGUUUUGUAAGCCAGAUGUGAAAGCCCCGGGCUCAACCUGGGAAUGGCAUUUGGGACUGCAAGGCUUGAGUGCGGCAGAGGAGACUGGAAUUCCUGGUGUAGCAGUGAAAUGCGUAGAUAUCAGGAGGAAUACCGAUGGCGAAGGCAGGUCUCUGGGCUGACACUGACGCUCAUGCACGAAAGCGUGGGGAGCAAACAGG
rnacentral:rRNA from 1 species